AUUCUGGCCCGGCAGCCAGGUCCUGAGGCAGCCGAGCAGCUCCAGCAGUGUCAGUGGACCAUCCGAGACAGAACCAAAAAGCUCAAGGCACUGAUAGCAGAGUUGAGGAUGCUUGACUCGAAGAUGAAUGAGUAUAAAAGUGAGAAUCAAAGACUGGCCACGGAGCUAGCAAACGUUACGAAGAAGUACCUAAGUGAGAAAAAGCUCCAAAGUGAGCAGAGGACAAAGAUCAAGGUGGAGCACCCGGAGCUUCUGCCUCAGCUGAGCAGCAAACCCCAUUUUACAGGAGGAGGUUUCAGAGUUGAUAACCCUGUAAGAAGAUGAUAUAUUUUAAAACAUUCAAAAUGAAUAGUUCACAAAUCAUGACAUGACCUCGCACCUGUCCAUGACCUCAGUAGCAUAAGGUUGACCAUUUGUUGCUUUCAGUUUUAUGUUCUAAUAUUCCAGCAAAACCUGUACUGAGGUCUUUAAGAGCUUGGCUCUGCAGUACACCAACAUGAAUUUAUUUAUAUUGUGCUUUGUUUAAUAAGAGUGAUUAUGCAAAUCUCAAAAGAGCAAUAUAGGUAUGAAAGAAUAUUUGUAGGCAGAUUAGAAAUAGCAGUAUGGUUCUGAUGGGCAAUGUUCCCUCUAAGCUGCGCGCGUGCACUGCU